GUCAAACUGAGCCAGACGCGGCGGUGGCGGCGGCUCCGCGGGCUACGGUCGCUCCCGCCUCUCGAGCGCUGCCGGUGGCCGCAGCGGCGCACCCACGCCGGCCCGGAGGAGCAGAGGAAGAUGGAGAUGUUUCCUCACUCGUGGACUGCACCUCAGGAAAGAUAAAGCCAGUGAAUUGAGGAUUGCGGAGUAUUGCACACAUUCAGGUGUCCUGCAGUGGACACCAUGACACUGACUCCAGCAUGCCUAGAAAUCACCAUGGGGGCUUAAGAGAGUGGCACCCCCUCAGCUCUGCCCCCAGAAUGACUGGAUUUUUGAACAGACUCCCAGGAAGUUCUGAUGUAUCUGGUUGAUGGACCACACUGGUGGAACACUGUGGGAAAGUGUUCAUUUCUGUGUCGGGCACAGUGCUAAGUGCUGGGUGCUCACUGGUGAUGAGGCAGAUGAAGGUUACCAAACUUGUGGACAGGAGCCUCAUAUCAGAGACGUGGACCUCACUGUAGCCUGGUCAUGGCUUCCAGCUUUUCGAAUCUGAGGCUCCAAAGGAGGAAAUGACCAUUCAGGGAUCUUACUCCAGCUUGAUUACGGAGACUGAACCUUCAUAGG
rnacentral:lncRNA from 1 species